AAAACAUAUCUAUAUAUUUUUUAAUAAUUUUUAAAAAAUAAUUUUUAAAAUUUUAUUUUUUAACGUAUUUACAUUUUUUUUUAUAUUAUAUAUAAAUAUAUAUAACAAUAAUUAUAUAUAUAUUUAAUCAAUAUCAGUCUACGUGUAAUCCGUCGCAUUCGGAUGUCUGCCCUAUUAACUUUCAAUGGUACUUUCUGCACCUAUCAUGGUGACCACGGGUAACAGGGAAUCAGGGUUUGAUUCCAGAGAGGGAGCCAGAGAAACGGCUACCACAUCCAAGGAAGGCAGCAGGCGCGCAAUUUACCCCACACCUGACGCGGGGAGGUAGUGA